UCUUAGCAACCGGAUUGGUCCUAGUCCUCUUCUUAGUUCUGCCUAAACCGAUACAUGCAAGCCAAUCGCAACACAGUGAGUAAAACUAAAGUUACACUCAAAAGAAAUAACUUUUAUAAAAGGUAUCAGAAAAUACUACCUAGUUCCAAUACACCUAGCCCCCCACACCUGCAGUACCUAACAUUAUACAAUAAGCAAAAGCUUGAUAUAGUUAUAGACUAAAGAGUUGGUUAAUUAUGUGCCAGCCACCGCGGUUAUACAUAAGACUCAAACUAAGAAAUUCACAUCGGUCUAAAGGUGAUUAAGGUAAAACUACUUUAAGGUGAAAAACAACUUCAGUAUUAACAAGCUUUUACAGUAAACUAACAACUAAACAAAACUUACCUUAAACUCCGACCUGAAACACCAAAGCUCAAAAAUAAACUGGGAUUAGAUACCCCACUAUAUGAGCCUUAAAAAAUCAAAAACACCAGAGA
rnacentral:rRNA from 1 species